GAUCUGGACCAGAAUGUCUGCAAUCUUGUUCUGGGUGCUAUGAGUUCCCACUGCUUUCUCCAGGCCUUUCUGUCUGCUAUGAGAGUGGGCAGAAGGGAUCAUCAGGUCAGUUUCCUGGUUUUAUGUGGCUCUAAAGGGUGCAAUACUGACACAAAGCAACUUUUCCAGCAAAGCCGUCUAACUAAAAAGUGACACUCAACCACUAAAGCAUUCCCCAGUGGUGAGACGGCGGCUGAAGAUUGCUGAGGGAUAUUAGUGAUGCGCUCAAUCAGUUCUGACUCAAAUUAGAAACAACUGGAAUUAGUGAGAGAAGAAAAUUGCUUCGUUCCAACCAAAUUUUAAAAGAUACCAUAUUACUAGUGUGAGACAAUUAACAAUUCAGAUCAUCUCUCUGAGAGAAAGCUGAUAAAGUCCCAUUUUGAUGUGCCAAGGCGUCACAAGAGAAGGUCUGCCCAAGCCUGGAUGCUGUGAUUGCCUUGUGCUUGUCACUGCCAGCUGCUCUCCAGUUGCCUCCCUGAAUCCACCACACCACUGGCUCUUGGCUCCUACGUGCUCCAGGCUUUCUGUGAUUUCCAUGCAUUGUUGUGGACUCCAUAACCAGAUCAAAAUAAAGAACGUGAAGUAUGGA